AUUGAACGCUGGCGGCAUGCCUUACACAUGCAAGUCGAACGGCAGCACGGGAGCAAUCCUGGUGGCGAGUGGCGAACGGGUGAGUAAUAUAUCGGAACGUGCCCAGUCGUGGGGAUAACGUAGCGAAAGCUACGCUAAUACCGCAUACGAUCUAUGGAUGAAAGCGGGGGAUCGCAAGACCUCGCGCGAUUGGAGCGGCCGAUAUCAGAUUAGGUAGUUGGUGAGGUAAAGGCUCACCAAGCCGACGAUCUGUAGCUGGUCUGAGAGGACGACCAGCCACACUGGGACUGAGACACGGCCCAGACUCCUACGGGAGGCAGCAGUGGGGAAUUUUUGGACAAUGGGCGCAAGCCUGAUCCAGCAAUGCCGCGUGCAGGAUGAAGGCCUCGGUUGUAACU
rnacentral:rRNA from 1 species